GCUAGCGUAGCUUAAAUAAAGCAUAACACUGAAGAUGUUAAGAUGAACCCUAAACAGUUCCGCAAGCA
rnacentral:tRNA from 1 species